UGUUGUCUUCGGACAACCAGCCAAUGCUUCCGCACUCUGUGAGAAGCGCCUUCGGGUGAGUGCCAACCAAUGUUUCAGCGGUCUGUGAGAAACGCCUUCGGGCGAUCGCGAAUAUCCUUGUAGCCUGAAAGAGGAUGCCCUUGUGGUGGUAACUCC
rnacentral:sRNA from 1 species